AUUGAACGCUGGCGGCAUGCCUUACACAUGCAAGUCGAACGGCAGCGCGGGGCAACCUGGCGGCGAGUGGCGAACGGGUGAGUAAUAUAUCGGAACAUACCCUAGAGUGGGGGAUAACGUAGCGAAAGUUACGCUAAUACCGCAUACGCACUAAGGUGGAAAGUGGGGGAUCUUCGGACCUCAUGCUCAUGGAGUGGCCGAUAUCUGAUUAGCUAGUUGGUGAGGUAAAGGCUCACCAAGGCGACGAUCAGUAGCUGGUUUGAGAGAACGACCAGCCACACUGGAACUGAGACACGGUCCAGACUCCUACGGGAGGCAGCAGUGGGGAAUUUUGGACAAUGGGGGGCAACCCUGAUCCAGCAAUGCCGCGUGAGUG
rnacentral:rRNA from 1 species